UAUGUAGGGUGCAAGCGUUGUCCGGAAUUAUUGGGCGUAAAGAGCGUGUAGGCGGCCAGGUAGGUCAGCUGUGAAAACUCGAGGCUCAACCUCGAGACGCCGGUUGAAACCAUCUGGCUAGAGUCCGGAAGAGGAGAGUGGAAUUCCUGGUGUAGCGGUGAAAUGCGCAGAUAUCAGGAAGAACACCCGUGGCUAAGGCGGCUCUCUAGUACGGUACUGACGCUGAGACGCGAAAGCGUGGGGAGCGAACAGG
rnacentral:rRNA from 1 species